AUUGAACGCUGGCGGCAUGCUUUACACAUGCAAGUCGAACGGCAGCACGGGAGCAAUCCUGGUGGCGAGUGGCGAACGGGUGAGUAAUGUAUCGGAACGUGCCCAGUCGUGGGGGAUAACGCAGCGAAAGCUGUGCUAAUACCGCAUACGAUCUAUGGAUGAAAGCGGGGGACCGUAAGGCCUCGCGCGAUUGGAGCGGCCGAUAUCAGAUUAGGUAGUUGGUGGGGUAAAGGCCCACCAAGCCAACGAUCUGUAGCUGGUCUGAGAGGACGACCAGCCACACUGGGACUGAGACACGGCCCAGACUCCUACGGGAGGCAGCAGUGGGGAAUUUUGGACAAUGGGCGCAAGCCUGAUCCAGCAAUGCCGCGUGCAGGACGAAGGCCU
rnacentral:rRNA from 1 species